AGGACAGAACAUGGACACAAUGCAAUUGGGAUCAAGAAGAAGGACUGGAGACCACAGCAGCGAUUCUGCUCUUGCCCUACCUCUUCAAUGAGGACCCGAGUGGCCUUUAUGUCCGUGACAAGAUUUCACCGCUCUUCACUCCUUUACUGCACAUCGGUGGAAAUCCAUUUCACCAUGAGAGUGAAAUCCCACUGGCCUUUGAUGGGGAGAACAUCCACGCCCUCGAGGACGUCCCCAUGGGACUUCGGGCUCUGCUAGGGCUGUAUUUUUUAUUUUCCCGUAAAUUUCCCAAAAUGUCAGAAAAACACUUAUGUUGUUAAGUUACUGUGUUCUGGGGAUAAGAGAAGUUGGGGUGAAGUUACCAGGGCCGGUCAUAAAGAUGGUAAACUUCCUAACAUAACUAAGUGGAUACGAUAUACACACUAAAGCUGAAAAAUCUGUAUUUAGCAUCAAGUCUACAAUGUUGUUAGUUUACCUAUGAUUCAUUUUUAAUGUAUGUUUUUAUUGUACAUCA